UAGAGGAAGUAAAAGUCGUAACAAGGUCUCCGUUGGUGAACCAGCGGAGGGAUCAUUACUGAGUUUACGCUCUACAACCCUUUGUGAACAUACCUAUAACUGUUGCUUCGGCGGGUAGGGUCUCCGUGACCCUCCCGGCCUCCCGCCCCCGGGCGGGUCGGCGCCCGCCGGAGGAUAACCAAACUCUGAUUUAACGACGUUUCUUCUGAGUGGUACAAGCAAAUAAUCAAAACUUUUAACAACGGAUCUCUUGGUUCUGGCAUCGAUGAAGAACGCAGCGAAAUGCGAUAAGUAAUGUGAAUUGCAGAAUUCAGUGAAUCAUCGAAUCUUUGAACGCACAUUGCGCCCGCCAGCAUUCUGGCGGGCAUGCCUGUUCGAGCGUCAUUUCAACCCUCAAGCUCUGCUUGGUGUUGGGGCCCUACAGCUGAUGUAGGCCCUCAAAGGUAGUGGCGGACCCUCCCGGAGCCUCCUUUGCGUAGUAACUUUACGUCUCGCACUGGGAUCCGGAGGGACUCUUGCCGUAAAACCCCCAAUUUUCCAAAGGUUGACCUCGGAUCAGGUAGGAAUACCCGCUGAACUUAAGCAUAUCAAUAAGCGG
rnacentral:rRNA from 2 species